UUUCACGUUCUCCCUCCAAACUCGCUGCCCGAAACUUCAUCUCCCUCUCAAACUCUAGCCCCAAUUACUUCCAGCUCCCUCUCAAUUUUUUCACUCCCUCUCAAACUGUCACCCUAAAACUUCAUCUCCUGAAAAAUUCUCUCCUCGCCCUCUCAUUUUUUUCAGUCCCUCUGAAACUCUCUCUUUCUUCUCUCUCCUCCGUCACUGCCCCAUUCUUGCUAAAACCAUCAGAUGCUCAACUCUUACGAUUCACAGCGAGAUCCUCCAAUCGGUGUUGUCCGGAACGACGGUGUCGUACGAGCAAGCGUUGAAACUUGGGGACUGCCGGAGAGAGGCAGCGAUCCGACGCGAGGCCUUGGAGCGGACGACGGAGGGUACCUUGGUGGCCAGCAUCAAUAGGCGCCAUGACCAGAGCUCCAAUUGUUAGGUUUGGCUCUGCCGUUAGGGCUGCACAGCUCAUGUUAUUCGUCGAGGACCCUCUCAACUUCAAUACUCUUGCUGCCAUUUUCAACAGGUCUAGUAGAUUUGCAAACCUUCUAAAGAUUCAAUGCCAAAUAGCAGGCAUGAAUCUAUGCAUCAGGUUUGCUUGCAGCACUGGAGAUGCCAUGGCAUAUAAAAAGAAAGUCAAAAAGAUGCAGUUGGAGAUGUUUGGUUCAGGUUUCUUUUCUUUUUCUUUCC